AGAGUGAACGCUGGCGGUAGGCCUAACACAUGCAAGUCGAACGGCAGCACAGGAGAGCUUGCUCUCUGGGUGGCGAGUGGCGGACGGGUGAGGAAUACAUCGGAAUCUACCUUUUCGUGGGGGAUAACGUAGGGAAACUUACGCUAAUACCGCAUAAGACCUUCGGGUGAAAGCCGGGGACCUUCGGGCCUGGCGCGGAUAGAUGAGCCGAUGUCGGAUUAGCUUGUUGGCGGGGUAAAGGCCCACCAAGGCGACGAUCCGUAGCUGGUCUGAGAGGAUGAUCAGCCACACUGGAACUGAGACACGGUCCAGACCUCCGUACGGGAGCAGCAGUGGGGAAUA
rnacentral:rRNA from 1 species